UACGUAGGGGGCUAGCGUUGUCCGGAUUUAUUGGGCGUAAAGAGCGUGUAGGCGGCUAGGUAGGUCUGCUGUGAAAACUCGAGGCUCAACCUCGAGACGUCGGCGGAAACCAUCUGGCUAGAGUCCGGAAGAGGAGAGUGGAAUUCCUGGUGUAGCGGUGAAAUGCGCAGAUAUCAGGAAGAACACCCAUGGCGAAGGCGGCUCUCUGGGACGGUACUGACGCUGAGACGCGAAAGCGUGGGGAGCGAACAGG
rnacentral:rRNA from 1 species